UGCAGUCGAACGGAACGAUGCUAGCUUGCUAGCAGGCGUCGAGUGGCGGACGGGUGAGUAAUAUAUAGGGAUCUGCCUAAUAGUGGGGGACAACGUGUGGAAACGCACGCUAAUACCGCAUACGCUCUACGGAGGAAAGUGGGGGAUCUUCGGACCUCAUGCUAUUAGAUGAACCUAUAUCGGAUUAGCUUGUUGGUGAGGUAAUGGCUCACCAAGGCGACGAUCCGUAGCUGGUUUGAGAGAAUGAUCAGCCACACUGGGACUGAGACACGGCCCAGACUCCUACGGGAGGCAGCAGUGGGGAAUAUUGCACAAUGGACGAAAGUCUGAUGCAGCAAUGCCGCGUGUGUGAAGAAGGCCUUCGGGUUGUAAAGCACUUUCAGAUGUGAGGAAAAGCAAUCUAUUAAUACUAGAUUGCCGUGACGUUAACAUCAGAAGAAGGACCGGCUAACUCCGUGCCAGCAGCCGCGGUAAUACGGAGGGUCCAAGCGUUAAUCGGAAUUACUGGGCGUAAAGCGCGCGUAGGCGGAUAAUUAAGUCAGAUGUGAAAUCCCUGGGCUCAACCUAGGAACUGCAUUUGAUACUGGUUAUCUAGAGUAUGGUAGAGGUGAGUGGAAUUUCAGGUGUAGCGGUGAAAUGCGUAGAGAUCUGAAGGAACAUCAGUGGCGAAGGCGACUCACUGGGCCAUUACUGACGCUGAGGUGCGAAAGCGUGGGUAGCUGCAGUCGAAUGCAGUCGAAUGCAGUCGAAUGCAGUCGAAUGCAGUCGAA
rnacentral:rRNA from 1 species